UUCAUACUUGGCGUUUUUGUUCGAUGUUAAAAUUGAUUGUGGCACAUGGACCAUCAGUGGGAUUAAAUGUAUCUCUUAGUCGAUAUGAUCUCUUCCACGGGCACCUCUUCUUUGCUUCUGGCACAGGAAGGCUUGGAAUUCUAGGUUGGGAUGACCCAAGACUCAAUAAAUGCAUAUCUGGAACCAAAAUGUAACCGCCUGAUUCAUAAGCUGUGCAGAGGGUACGUGGACAACAUCCAUUUUAUCACCCACAACUUCAACAAAUAUGUGGGGAAUAUUUAGAUUGGAGCCCAG